ACUGAAGGUAACUGGACCCUCAUCAGGAAGGAUAGAUAUAGCUUACCUGUCCAGGUGCAGGCUGAGGUGCUGAACAUCUAGGAGUGAAGAUGGGAGCUGCUCCAAGAAGAGGCAGAGAACAGAGCUCGCCUCUAGGACAGAGUCAAGUGAUUGUGCACUUGCUUCAGACGUCACUGCUCAAAAUAGCUGCAUGAGAGGCUGCGGUGAGCCAAGGUCACGACACUGCACUCCAGCCUGGGCAACAGGGCAAGACUCCGUCUCAAAAAAUAAAAAAAAAUAAAAAAAACGAAAUAGCUGUAUGACUCCUCCUCCUUUUUACUUGGGGGAGAGAGAGUUUGAGGUGGAAAGAGGAGAGAUGGGCAGGAAGAACGGGUUCUCACCACGCUUUCCCACUGGUGAGAGAACAGGUACGUGUCCUCCUUUGGGGAAAAUCCAGGGGCAAAUACAGGGUGCCAAGAGAGCGAAUUUCAGGAACUCCUCCUUGUCCUCAAGGACGAGACCAUGGAUUCCAGAUCCAGAGGACAGGUAGAUGUCGGCCUGGCAGAGGUGGGGCUGGGGAGGAGGUUUUAGCCGGCGAUUACUGCUGAUCAAAAUCCCCAAGGAGAAAGAAAAUAUAGCCUGCCUAGGAACUGAAAGAAGCUUGGAGUGUUCAGCCUAAAAUGAGGCAUUUUAUGUAAAUUAGUGGGCAUGAUUCCUGCUACAUUGUAUGUACCUGAUGGCUUACGGUUAUUUUGCAGAAGUUUACUUCUUACUGGGUGGAGACACUUGGCAUUUGUAAAUGAGAAUAACAAUUUGAAGGAAGAUAAGAACAAGAACAAAACCUCCUAUAGCAUAAACAGAAACGUUUGGAGUGUAUUAAUCUGCUGCUUACUUUCGAAAAUGCCAUCAGCCUCUUUCCGCAUUGUGUCUGAAGAGUGGCAGCUGCGAGGACCUCGCCGUUUGUCACCCUCGGAAGCCAUGCCUCUCAUCUGGGGCCUUGAUCCGGCAUCCCCGGCCAGUGCAGUCCCUUCAGCCAUGGGAUAG
rnacentral:lncRNA from 1 species